AUUUAAAUAGUUUAAUUAAAAUUCUAAUUUGUGGGAUUAGGGAUGUUUGAUAUGUAUAUAACUUUAAAUU
rnacentral:tRNA from 1 species